GUCUUGAUAGCUCAGUUGGGAGAGCACUCGACUGAAGUCGUUAGAACUUUAGCUGACAUCGAAAGGUCACCCGUUCGAACCGGGUUCAGGACA